rnacentral:rRNA from 1 species
GGAGUUUGGACCGUCUCUCAGUUCCAAUGUGGCCGAUCACCCUCUCAGGUCGGCUACCGAUCGUCGACUUGGUGGGCCGUUACCUCACCAACUAUCUAAUCGGACGCGAGCCCACCCCAAACCGGUUUGCACCUUUUACCCCUGGGCCAUGUGACCCCGUGGUCUUAUGCGGUAUUAGCACCUGUUUCCAAGUGUUAUCCCCCUCGUCUGGGACAGGUUGCUCACGCGUUACUCACCCGUCCGCCACUGGAAUUAUCAGAAAUCCUGCCGAAGCUCUCAUCCCCAAUAAUCCCCGUUCGACUUGCAUGUGUUAAGCACGCCGCC